rnacentral:rRNA from 1 species
UACGUAGGUGACAAGCGUUGUCCGGAUUUACUGGGCGUAAAGAGCGCGCAGGCGGUCGUUCAAGUCGAGUGUGAAAGCCCCCGGCUCAACUGGGGAGGGUCACUCGAUACUGAUCGACUUGAAGGCAGGAGAGGGUAGUGGAAUUCCCGGUGUAGCGGUGAAAUGCGUAGAUAUCUGGAGGAACACCGGUGGCGAAGGCGGCAUCCUGGACCGACAUUGACGCUGAGGCGCGAAAGCCAGGGGAGCAAACGGG